UUGCCAAAUGUGAUUCAGUGGGUAUAAAACGUAUCUGUAGACUGGAAGUGACACACUACGCGAUCGUUCGUGAAACGUGUUGCUCGUGCGCACAACUAAGUUACAAGUUUAGUUGUCAAAUGUUUGUAAACGGUGUUCAGGCUAUCAGUUCACGUUUGGAAAACCUUAGUUUGGAUUAUCAAAGAACCAUGCAGCCUAAGUCAGAAAGACCGCCGGUGUGCCCCAAGACGCAGCUGCCUCAUUUCCAAGUAACGCCGUCUGACGCCGGUCAGAAGAAAGAUGGCAGUCCACAGGCGACAGAAAACCCUUGGCUAUUGAAGCCUCAGCACGAAAUACCAGCCACCCCACCUCCUCAGACGAAGCAAGCGGGCAACUUUUUCCAACAAAGAAUAGGAUAAAUCGUGAUCUCUCCUCAUAGAAAGAUGUUGAAAUAACUUUCUUAUGGCAAUGUGCCAUCUUGUCGGGACACGGACUAUCGUAUAAAAAUAUUUUACAAAAAGAUAAUACGUUGAACGUCGCAUGUGAAACGGCAAGAUUUAGUCGAAUAUCAGGAAGACGGUUGACUGUGAAGGAUCAAGCAAUUGUUUAUUAUUAUGACUAACUUAUAUUAGUAAAUAAGACUUUUAAUAAAUGUCCUAGACUCUAGUGAUAGUUUUUCGGUAGCUAUUAAUAAUAGUAGAUAAAAAAUAUUAAAAAGUAUAAAAGAUUAUUAAAAAUAAUGUAGACGCUGUGAUAUUUUAAAGUGAGAGUAAUAAUAAUCACGUUUGCAAAAUUUGUCAAAAAUUGUUACUGAAAUAAACUAUAUUUUA